GGGGGGGGGGGACAUGGAGAAAGGCGGAAGUCAGCAACGAAAGGCAACGCUCGACAAACCCUUGAAAAAGAUGUUGAGAAAGUUGGUGAAGGAGCGGCUCAUGGCGGCAGCGGAUGAAAUACUGGCGCUGUUUGAAGGAACGAUGGCGUCGUACGAGGAGGAGCUUUGCCGAACGAGAGAAGAGAACGAGCGACACCGACAGCAACUGGAAGCCGCGAGCAAGACUCAAACUGUGCUCCACAUUGAAGAUGUCCGGCAGCUGAUUGGUCGUCAAGAAGAACGCCCCCCUCUGCCGCAGGGCGGGAGCUCCACUGUGAGGCAGCAGGAUCCCCGGCCCCCCCACGUUAAAGAGGAAGAGGAGGAACUCUGGAUCACUCAGACAGGAAAGUCGGAGGAGGCUGAUCUCACCGAGUUGCCACUGACUGUUGUCUCAGUGAAGGCCGAAGACCAUGACGAAGACCCACCCGAGUCCUCACAGCUUCAUCCUCGCCCAGGUGAGGAGAGCAGAGGGGCGCAGCCUCCGGGCAGCAGCUCCCCACAACACAUAAUAGAAGCUGAUGGGGACCACUGUGGGGGAUCACAAGCAGACAAGCUCUUAGCUCCACUGUCAGAUAGCGACGACACGACGUCACACUCUGCUGAGGAUGAAGACAGGGACCACACCCAAGAACUGCUGAGCAGCGAUGCAGACUGUGAAGGCGAUACGAGGAUUCACGCCGGCAGCAAACACUCUGAACGCUCUAAAAAGAAGACGGGUAAAAAGGCCGUGACCUGCUCAGUUUGUGGGGAAAGUUAUGCUUACUACUGUGAUUUUAUUCGACACAUACGGACGCACAAGGGAGAAAAACCUUUCAGUUGCUCAGUUUGUGGCGAAAGAUUCUCUCAGCAGUCCGUCCUGGUGUUGCACAUGAGGACACACACAGGACAAAAACAUUUCAAAUGCUCACUUUGUCGUGACAGCUUUUCCAAAAAGAGCAGCUUAAAUGUGCACAUGCGGUCGCACACGGGAGAAAAACCCUUCACUUGCUCUCUUUGUGCUAAAACAUUUAAGCAAAAGGCACAUAUGGAAUCACACCUGAGAACGCACACAGGAGAAAAACCCUUUAGCUGCUCACUUUGCAACGAGAGGUUUACCUGUAAGAGAAAUUUUACCCGACACAUGAGGACACACACGGGAGAAAAACCCUUUAUUUGUUCUGUUUGUUGCAAGAGAUUCUCUCAAAAGUCAAACAUGGUCUCACACAUGAGAACCCACACGGGCGAAAAGCCUUUCAGCUGCUCAGUUUGCGGCGAAAGUUUUAGUCAAAAGGUGUCUCUGAUUGCACACGAAACAGCACACACGGGAGAAAAAGCCUUCGAUUGCCCGGUUUGUGGUAAAAGUUAUUCUUAUAAGAAAAGUUUGACAGCACACAUGCGGACACACAAUGGUGAAUAAAGGUUUUCGUGUCAGGUGUAUGCUGAAAGAUGUCAGAUCACACAAGUGUAAUGUCAUGUGAGAAGUCUACUGUGUGCAUGCGAUAUCAGAAGAGUGUGAACGAUGUAAAAUGUGACAAAUGGUUCCUGUGAAACAACUUAUUUGGCUGUAUAUAAUGUAAACGUAAAUUACAUUUUACUCAUGUAAUGACAAACUUAAUUGUGACGUCUUUGCAGCUUUUCUUUCUUCCUCGGGUCUCAUCUUGAGCAGUGGUCAAUACCGCCACAAGAUGGCAGCAGCGUGACGCUCUCGCUGCCGUAAAACCUCCAUCAGAAAACGCAAAAGUCGGAAGUUAGCAACGUCGCUGCAGCGACGACGGUUAAUAAAGCGAGGCGGAAUCCGGUGAAAGCAUUUUUUUAAAUAAAAUUGAAAGACUUGGUGAAGGAGCGACUAAUGGCGGCAGCUGGUGAAAUAUCGGCGCUGCGAUAGCAACGUACAAGGAGGAACUUUCUCGGACAAGACAUCGGCAACAACCGGAAGCCGUUGACAAGACUCUAUGGCACAUUGAAGCCCAGGAAAGCGUUUGUGCGCAACUUCUGCUGGAACUCUUCCAGACCAGCGCUUAUGAGUGAGCGACGACCAGCUGAUUAGUCAUCAACCAGAACACCCCCCUCAGCUGCAGGUGGUGGGCUCCACUUUGAAGCAGGAGGAUCCCCAGGCCCCGUACGUUAAAGACGAAGAUGAGGAACUCUGGGCCACUCAGGAGAGAGAGUGUCUUCUCGGGCCACUGACUGGUGUGUCUGUGAAGACGGAAGACCGUGAAGACAAACCACAAGCAGACAACCUCGUAGCUCCGCUAUCAGAUAAUGACGACACAACCUCACACUCUCCUGAGGAUGAAGACAGGGUUGACACCCAAGAGACCCAAGAACGGCGACAGACUGUGAAGGCGACGACAGAAAAUGGAAAAAGACGACUGCUCAGAGCAACAAAGAGCAUUUGCAAACCUGCAAAAGACCUUAUACUUGCUCAGUUUGUGCUAAAAGUUUUUCUUGUAAGCUCAAUAUUGAAGU